AUACGUAGGGGGCGAGCGUUGUCCGGAAUGAUUGGGCGUAAAGGGCGCGUAGGCGGCGCGGUAAGUCUGGAGUGAAAGUCCUGCUUUCAAGGUGGGAAUUGCUUUGGAUACUGCCGCGCUUGAGUGCAGGAGAGGUUAUCGGAAUUCCCGGUGUAGCGGUGAAAUGCGUAGAGAUCGGGAGGAACACCAGUGGCGAAGGCGGGUAACUGGACUGCAACUGACGCUGAGGCGCGAAAGUGUGGGGAGCAAACAGGAUUAGAUACCCUGGUAGUCCACACUGUAAACGAUGAAUGCUAGGUGUAAGAGGUAUCGACCCCUUUUGUGCCGGAGGCAACACAAUAAGCAUUCCGCCUGGGGAGUACGGCCGCAAGGCUGAAACUCAAAGGAAUUGACGGGG
rnacentral:rRNA from 1 species